UCUGUAAACUUCAUCAGUGAUGAUAUUUUCUUCUAGAUCUUUGAGAAAUUUACUUCAGAGUAUUUGGCCAAGAAAAAAUUCCCUGGCAGACGCAUUUCAGAAAUCAUCCCAAAGACUUUCCAUUGCUUGCUACUUUUUAUCAGAAGCACAGAGAGGGCUGAAGAACAGAAACCAGAAGCAAAUCUGCAAUGAUCCGCUGGAGAGGUGACCUGAGAUUUGACAACACCUGACUGUGAAUGAUCUAGGACAUCUGGAAGCAGAUGUGAACCUGAAACCCAAGCCUUCAAAACACAUGUUGGCGGGGGUGGUACUUCUAAAGAUCAACCAAGGAGAAAUCUCCAUGAAUAUGAUAUGCUGAAUAUAUCCUCAAAGCCAGUGCAGCCUAGCUGUAGAAGCCAGUUGAGAAGUGGACUCUUUCUACAAUUGCUGGUCACUUUUGUUUAAAACACGUUCCUGAAGGAGUUCUCACGCAAUGGGUCACUAAGACCAACAGACUACUUUUUAUCGCCUCUGUUUUUGAACACCCAAGGAGGGAUUCUCUGUGUCCAGUCACCACGAAUGUAGGAGAACCCACAUCUCAGCUGAAAUCAGCAGGAGCUGCAGCCCAUUGGUACUUCUGAAACCAGGUCUGUGAAGUGCAGGUAAUUGACAGAUUUGUCUUGCCC
rnacentral:lncRNA from 1 species